rnacentral:rRNA from 1 species
GUGGGGAACAACAGCUGGGAACGGCUGCUAAUACCCCAUAGGCUGAGGAGCAAAAGGAGGAAUCCGCCCAAGGAGGGGCUCUCGUCUGAUUAGUUAGUUGGUGAGGCAAUGGCUUACCAAGGCGACGAUCAGUAGCUGGUCCGAGAGGAUGAUCAGCCACACUGGGACUGAGACACGGUCCAGACUCCUACGGGAGGCAGCAGUGGGGAAUUUUCCGCACUGGGUGAAAGCCUGAUGGAGCGAUGCCUCGUGACGGAGGAAGGCCUUCC